rnacentral:rRNA from 1 species
CCUACGGGAGGCAGCAGUGGGGAAUAUUGCGCAAUGGGCGGAAGCCUGACGCAGCGACGCCGCGUGGGGGAUGACGGCCUUCGGGUUGUAAACCUCUUUCAGCAGGGACGAAGCGAAAGUGACGGUACCUGCAGAAGAAGCACCGGCCAACUACGUGCCAGCAGCCGCGGUAAUACGUAGGGUGCAAGCGUUGUCCGGAAUUAUUGGGCGUAAAGAGCUCGUAGGCGGUUUGUUGCGUCGGCUGUGAAAUCCCGAGGCUCAACCUCGGGUCUGCAGUCGAUACGAGCAAACUAGAGUGUUGCAGGGGAGACUGGAAUUCCUGGUGUAGCGGUGAAAUGCGCAGAUAUCAGGAGGAACACCGGUGGCGAAGGCGGGUCUCUGGGCAACAACUGACGCUGAGGAGCGAAAGCGUGGGGAGCGAACAGGAUUAGAUACCCUUG